UACGUAGGGGGCUAGCGUUGUCCGGAAUCAUUGGGCGUAAAGCGCGCGUAGGCGGCCCGGUAAGUCCGCUGUAAAAGUCCAGGGCUCAACCCUGGAAAGCCGGUGGAAACUGUCGAGCUAGAGUCCGGAAGAGGCGAGUGGAAUUCCUGGUGUAGCGGUGAAAUGCGCAGAUAUCAGGAGGAACACCGAUGCGAAGGCAGCUCGCUGGGACGUCACUGACGGCUGAGAACGCGAAAAGCGUGGGGGAGCAAACAGG
rnacentral:rRNA from 1 species